UCAGGAAAUGAGUGAAGUUUUGCAGGAAACAACUGGAGAAAGCUUGGAGACACUGCAGAGUUUUGCCAAGCAUGAACUGCCAGGAAGCUCAAUACUCUGCGAUGUAAAACAGAUGGGCUCAUCAUCCAUUUGAAGGCCAAAUUCUUUGGCGAAGGGAGUGCCUCUGAAUGGACUUCUUGGCUACUUCUUGUGACAGGAUCAAGAUCUACGUGAAAAUAGAAAAUCUGUCUUUGCUCAUGGUG
rnacentral:lncRNA from 1 species